GUACCGAUCAGAAGUGGGGAUACUGUUCAGCGAAUGACGCCCAUAACUGUGAGACUUCCCUGCUAACUGAGGAUGCCCUUAAUUCUGAGCUAGGAAUCGCAUCUGAGGGGAAGACUUGUGAGACUUUCCCACCAGGUGUCCACAAGACUAGAGCAGAAUGAGAUGACCACGGGGAGAAGAGAAGACUGAUAAAGCAAUGUAUGAAAAUGCCGUCUGACAAACCAUCUCCUGGAACCACAGCGCCUGUUCUGCUACAGUGGCAUAUGAUCAAUAUUGUUUAUAUGGGAAAAUUGCGCUUAGUGAUCUAAUUGUAAUUGAUAAUAGGUGACAUAACAGCAGCACUCAUAAUUAUGUA